rnacentral:lncRNA from 1 species
GAAAACAUUAUAUAAGCUACUCAUAUCAUAUGUAGAAAAGAAAAUAAUAUUAUACAGCUGAAUUGAAAAAAAAAUUCAAACCUCUAUACAUAAUCUGGAGGUUUGGACCUCAUCGUGAUCAAGGCUAUAGCCUUUUGAAAGUGAGAACCUAUCAUCUCAGGUGAAACAUUUUAAGUCAUGUAGAUUUGUCCUACAGAACUUUAUAAUCUUGGUCGCUUAUGUAUGUUCCUGUCGAAGCCUCUGCUUUUCAUCUGCUACGAGUAUAUACACCUGCAAUGAGAGAGAGAGAGAGAGAGAGAGAGAGAGAGAGAGAAAUAAUAUAUGUUGACAGCUUUUCUUCUUAUUAGUCAUUGACUCCUUGCUGAGAGAAUUAUCUCAGAUGAAAAUGGAAGUAUAUUAAGCUCCAUUAUACUUAGAGAGUUAAGGUUGUAAAUAGAGCUCUAUGUGUGCAAAACAUUACACUGGUACAGGAUUUUGUUCGAGGAUUUCCUUUCCUGUAAUUCCAUCUUUCAAAGUUCUAAAGUAAACAUUGUAGUCCUUCUCGGGGGAUGGAUUUUGAGGGUCCACUGUAAAUGGCUCACUAAAUGGCACAACACUUUUAACCUGCAAAUGAGUUUAUAAGCAUCUCAGAAUCUGCAAAAGCUUUUAACUUCCAAAAAUAGCAAAUUGCAGCCACAGCACACAGCACACAAUUAAGGGACAUAAGUCGGGCUGUGACCUUAAAUGUCUUGCCAGAUGCAUGGGGCUUUCCAACGCAGCAACACAAAUCUGAGCAACCUCCUCUCUUGAUAUCUUACCCUGCAUAUAUAUAAAUCCUAUCAAUCAUAACAUUCAGAUAUGAUUACUAUUAUAAAGGAAAGAAAGAGCAAUACAUGCGAUCACAAUAAAGAGAGAAUAGUGAUCUUCCAUUUGAUUAUAUACCGUUACAUUGUCUCCUUGGUCAAAAAUGAGAUCUGCUCCAGCAGGCUCCUCAGCAAAGAUAGAUGAAGUUUGAAAAAUCGCUAUGAGGUAGGCUAAAAGAACAAAAGAAAAGAACCAGACCCUAAACCCUAAAGAACCAGACCCACCCUGGCACCCAGACCCGCCUAGGGCCGCCUAGACCCGCCUAGACCCGCCUAGCGCCGCUCAAACCCUCCCAGCGCCGCCUAGACCAGCCCUGCAGUGCAUUAUGCAUAAGUUUGAAAAAUCGCUAGGCAGUAGGUUUAAAGAACAAAAGAAAAGAACCAGACCCGCCUAGACCCGCCUAGACCCGCCUAGCGCCGCCCUGACCUGCCCAUGCCGCCUAGGCCGAUUUUUCGUAAAGCAGAGUAUGGAUUGGAAGGAAUGGUUUCAACAAGAGGGGAUGUGUACAGUUUUGGAAUCGUAGUGAUGGAAACAUUGACAAGAAGGAAGCCACCAGAUGAGAUGUUUGUUGGGGAAAUGAAUUUAAAGCAAUGGAUUGCAAACUCACUAUUACCAGAUGCAAUGAUAGAUGAAGUUGUGGAUGCCAAUUUUCUUACUUGGUGUGGUUGCUGCUGCAAGCCUGCAACUACGGCCUCUUGGGUGCUUUGCCGCUGCUUUGUUAAGAAUAUUUGUUUUUCUAUUUAUUAUGUUUAUUGAUUAUCUUGUUCAGUUGUGGAAGUCCUAUUGUUUAGGAACUUGGUUGUUUAGUUGCUAGUUAAUAGGAGAGUCUAAGUUGUCAGGGAGUCAUGGUUAGUGGCUGAAUGUGAUGGUUUAGUCGUGCAUUAGUUGUUCCUAUUAUUUAGGAGAGUCCAAGUUGCUUUGUUAUUUUGCUAUUUAAGUUGUAUUCAGUGUUCAAGUUAAUGGUGAAGAGAAGUUUGAAUUCCACAAAUACGUUCUUGGUUCUUCAUCUGUUUCCUUAUUUUCAACAUGCUUACCCCAGGACUCUUUUACUUGGUAUGGUAUCAGAGGAGGCAAGAAACGACUGAUUACAACACCCAGGCCUCCCUUCCUAUCUGUUGGUCUCUCGGUGUGUGUAAAACAAGCUUGGUUUUUGAGACUUUUGUCUUGAUCGUUGCUUUAGUUAUGGAUAGAACAAACAAUUAAUGGUUUUCAGUUUCACAAAUAUUGGAUUGGAUUGGAUCCCUGUAUUUAAAGCAUGUUUAAGGAAGAAAUGAAAAUAUUUUUUUAUCAUUGAAGGUAGAAGAUGGAUUACUCAUGAAGAAAACUUAUCCUGUCUAAUCCCAACAAACAUGGAAAGUCAUUCACCCCUACCUUCAUCUUCUCUUUCAAUAUACCUUAGAUUUAGUGACUUAUCAAGUUUUCUUCUUUCAUAAUCAAAAUUAGUAAUUGACUCUUUCUACUCUUUAACUAACUGCUUUAGGGUUCUUUACCUGUGCAUUAAGUUCUGGUAUCUUGGGACAGGUUUUAUUUAGUCUCCUUUAGAAUUCUGAUAGCUUGUUUUGUCAAGCUGAAAGAGUGCUGGUUAGAUCCAACAACGAAUUUGAUUGAGACUAUAAACUUUUUGAAAAAUCAGUGGAAAGACCAUGGUAAAUUCUGUGAUCUGCUUGCUGAAGACUACUUCAAUUUAGCAUUCAAGUUUUAUGAAGACGUUAAUGUGACAAAGAUGCUUGAGGGUGCUGGAAUUUCGGUUGGGAUGGAUUUUGAUCCUAACUUAAUCAUUCAAAGUGAUAAGGAAAAAGACUAACAGCUUCGCAUAUAUAAAGUGUUAUAAUGGAAUGUUUUGUUUGGGAAGUCCGAUUCUGCUUCGAAAAAGAUGGAAUGUUCCGGGACUGUAACAUGAGGCCUCAGGAUAUGUUUCAAAAAAGGACAAUAAAUACACAUGACAAAAUUUCUCUUCCAAUGCCCACCUACAAUAAAGGCAGAGGUAAAUACCAAAUUGUGCUUUCCGAGUUCUAUGUUGUAAUCACACAUUUAUAAAUUGCCUAUGUGAUUGUUGUAGAAAUGUGAUGGCGGAGACUGCUACUAUAGGUGAUUAGCCCAAGCAAUGAGCACAAAAGGCUGCUGGUGGUGGUGAGCAAGUUAAAGUUCUACAAAUAUUUUUCUAUUUUUUCAUUUUUUUUUUUUAAUGUUUGUGUUAUGUUGAUGUUUCCAGGUCUGAACUUGAGUCACACGACAAGGCCAAGCAUAGUGUUGAGGGUGAUACCUUCAUUUUGUGAAGGUUUUGGUGGUGAUCGGUUGUGGUUUUAUAUGUUUAAACCUCAGUUUUUCUAUUUCUUUAACUUUGAUUAAUAAUUUACUUUAAGAACACUAAUUUUAACUGUUUCUUUAUUGUCAGCAACUUUGAUUUACCACUUUUCAUUCCAAAAUGAAUCUCGCGCACUAAUUGGGUCAAAUUACUCUUGGUUUACAUUGAACUUGUAUACUUAAUGCCGGAAUACUUGCUCUACUGGUCGCGAGCCUUGAUUGCUAUGGCUAAUGUCUUAAUGAAAAAUUGACCUACAAGAACCCUCAUAGCUAGUCAUAGUCCAAUUUCCUGUAAGCUUCUACAAUCUGCCCGUAGCGUACAGAAAGUGCUUGCUCUAUGAACCCUUCUUAGUUUUAUAAGCCGCAGCAUUGGAAUUUCCUUCUUGAUUUGAUAUAAAACUGUGACAUUGAUCUCCAUCUUCACUUUUAUGCCGAGGCUGCAAACUGUGUGGGCUGUGCUACCAUUGAAAUGGUUACAAGCCAUGAUUCUGCCACCGUCUUUAACUUACAAUUCAAGGCCAAACACAUGUACAAUAAUUUAUGUAUGCAUAUUUUUAAAAUCAUUAGAAAACAUUAUAUAAGCUACUCAUAUGUAGAAGGAAAAUAAUAUUAUACAGCUGAAUUGAAAAAAAAUUUCAAACCUCUAUACAUAAUCAGGAGGUUUGGACCUCAUCGUGAUCAAGGCUAUAGCCUUUUGAAAGUGAGAACCUAUCAUCUCAGGUGAAACAUUUUAAGUCGUGGAUUUGUCCUACAGAAGUUUAUAAUCUUGGUCGCUUAUGUAUGUUCCUGUAGAAGCCUCUGCUUUUCAUCUGCUAUGAGUAUAUACACCUGCAAUGAGAGAGAGAGAGAGAGAGAGAGAGAGAGAGAAAGAAAUAAUAUAUGUUGACAGAUUUUCUUCUUAUUAGUCAUUGACUCAUUGCUGAGAGAAUUAUCUCAGAUGAAAAUGGAAGUAUAUUAAGCUCCAUUAUACUUACAAAGUUAAGGUUGAAAAUAGAGCUCUAUGUGUGCAAAACAUUACACUGGUACAGGAUCUUGUUCGAGGAUUUCCUUUCCUGUAAUUCCAUCUUUCAAAGUUUUAAAGUAAACAUUGUAGUCCUUCUCGGGGGGUGGAUUUUGAGG